AAGUCGUAACAAGGUUUCCGUAGGUGAACCUGCGGAAGGAUCAUUAUCACAUGAAUCCAUGUAUAAACCAUUUCGUGAACUGUUAAAAACAAACUGUUAUGUGCUCAGUAUAUAUAAUUUGUUAGUUACGCUGGUGUCGAUGUGUUCGGCCAGCGCUUAGGUUUGGUUUGGAUGUGUUUCGACCUUACUGGCUAACAAAAUCACUUGCUGAGUCUUAAUGGUAAAAACCUGUGAAACCCCUUUUAAACUUUUGAACUAACGUCUUCAUACUCCAAUAAAACGGAGAUGAAGUUUCUUACGAAACAAAGAACAACUCUUAGCAACGGAUAUCUUGGUUCUC
rnacentral:misc_RNA from 1 species